rnacentral:tRNA from 2 species
GGCGUCAUAGCCAAGAGGUAAGGCAGGGAAUAUUAUUUCCAAUGCAUCGGUUCGACUCCGAUUGAUGCCUCCA